GCGAUACAGGGUGACAGCCCCGUACACAAAAAUGCACAUACUGUGAGCUCGAUGAGUAGGGCGGGACACGUGGUAUCCUGUCUGAAUAUGGGGGGACCAUCCUCCAAGGCUAAAUACUCCUGACUGACCGAUAGUGAACCAGUACCGUGAGGGAAAGGCGAAAAGAACCCCGGCGAGGGGAGUGAAAAAGAACCUGAAACCGUGUACGUACAAGCAGUGGGAGCCUCUUUUAUGGGGUGACUGCGUACCUUUUGUAUAAUGGGUCAGCGACUUAUAUUCUGUAGCAAGGUUAACCGAAUAGGGGAGCCGAAGGGAAACCGAGUCUUAACUGGGCGUUAAGUUGCAGGGUAUAGACCCGAAACCCGGUGAUCUAGCCAUGGGCAGGUUGAAGGUUGGGUAACACUAACUGGAGGACCGAACCGACUAAUGUUGAAAAAUUAGCGGAUGACUUGUGGCUGGGGGUGAAAGGCCAAUCAAACCGGGAGAUAGCUGGUUCUCCCCGAAAGCUAUUUAGGUAGCGCCUCGUGAAUUCAUCUCCGGGGGUAGAGCACUGUUUCGGCAAGGGGGUCAUCCCGACUUACCAACCCGAUGCAAACUGCGAAUACCGGAGAAUGUUAUCACGGGAGACACACGGCGGGUGCUAACGUCCGUCGUGAAGAGGGAAACAACCCAGACCGCCAGCUAAGGUCCCAAAGUCAUGGUUAAGUGGGAAACGAUGUGGGAAGGCCCAGACAGCCAGGAUGUUGGCUUAGAAGCAGCCAUCAUUUAAAGAAAGCGUAAUAGCUCACUGGUCGAGUCGGCCUGCGCGGAAGAUGUAACGGGGCUAAACCAUG
rnacentral:rRNA from 1 species